CACAGGACACUGAAUCCUUGAUCUGGAAAUUGUACUGACAGUGACAUUAAAGAAUUCAUGCUCAUAGCUUCACUGAUUCCUUGCAGCCCUGCUUUUAUACUUUGCUGAUCAUCCUUAUGAGUUUCCUGUAGGCUCCCCCCAAUUGGUCUACACCCUUCUUGAAACACAGUACACCAUUUGGAGGGUUCAGCAGCUCAUCUCUGUGAA
rnacentral:lncRNA from 1 species